AGUAGGAUGUGUGUCCUACCUGAUGAGUCUAAAAAGACGAAAACAGAA
rnacentral:hammerhead_ribozyme from 24 species